rnacentral:rRNA from 1 species
CAGCCGCCGCGGGAAUACGUAGGGUGCGAGCGUUAAUCGGAAUUACUGGGCAUAAAGCGUGCGCAGGCGGUUCGUUAAGACAGAUGUGAAAUCCCCGGGCUUAACCUGGGAACUGCAUUUGUGACUGGCGAGCUAGAGUAUGGCAGAGGGGGGUAGAAUUCCACGUGUAGCAGUGAAAUGCGUAGAGAUGUGGAGGAAUACCGAUGGCGAAGGCAGCCCCCUGGGCCAAUACUGACGCUCAUGCACGAAAGCGUGGGGAGCAAACAGGAUUAGAUACCCGUGUAGUCCCUGUCUCUUAUAC